rnacentral:misc_RNA from 1 species
GUAGGUGAACCUGCGGAGGGAUCAUUCACAUGAUUACUUUAUUUAACAAACUGUGAACUUUAAAUACCAUUCGUGUUUUUUAUGUCAUUUAUUUGAUACAUCAAACAUUGUCAUUCGUUGAACAUAAGAUAGUUGGCUUGAAUCUUGAAUAAGAUUCUUUCUCAGCUUUGAUUUGAUAUGAAAAUUAAACACUUUCUAUUAAUCAACCAUAAACAUAGAAAUAACUCUAUGCCCUGGAUAUCUUGGUUCUC